GGGAAGGUGGCCUUCAGAGAGGGACUGUGGUCAAACCCUGCCUUGGAAUUAGGCUGCAGUGGACUUGUAAAAUUGAUUAUAUACUGAAAAUCAAGGGAAGUACAUCAAGGCAAUAGACUUGAUAAAAGUACAUGGAAGGAAUGAAGAGUCUCAAGAAAACACUGUAUCUGCAAAUACAAGGAUGCUCCUUGGCUGAAAAACAGUGCCUAUUUAUGAGAAGAGGAAGUUUCAGAGACUUUUUGGAUGACUAAGACUCGAGAAACCUCUGGACUGUGUGGCUCCCUGAGUUGCUCCACAUGAAACAUCUACAGAUAUGGUAUUCAGAGGGUGGCAGCACAGAGGACACAUGGAAAAGACAGGAGCAAGUGAUUUGGACUCCACAGACCUUAGAAACAGAUGGAAAGGUCUGGAACCCUGACACAAGAUGGAGACAUUGGCACUGGAUAAGCUGCCAUGGAAAGCUGCUGAUGGAGAGCACAUCCACUCUCAGUAAGCUCCUGUCUUACCCUCUCUUUCUCUUAGCACUCAC
rnacentral:lncRNA from 1 species